GACGAACGCUGGCGGCGUGCCUAACACAUGCAAGUCAACUUGACGGAAGGAGCAAUCUGACCGUAGAGUGGCGCAAGGGUGCGUAACGCGUAAGUAACUUGCCCCAAGGUAAGGAAUAACGUCGAGAAAUCGGCGCUAAUACCUCAUAAUGCAGCGGAUCCGCAUGGAUAUGUUGUUAAAGGUUUACCGCCUUGGGAUAGGCUUGCGUCUGAUUAGCUAGUUGGUGUGGUAACGGCACGCCAAGGCUACGAUCAGUAACUGGUCUGAGAGGAUGAUCAGUCACACUGGAACUGAGACACGGUCCAGACUCCUACGGGAGGCAGCAGUGAGGAAUAUUGGGCAAUGCUCGAAAGAGUGACCCAGCAACGCCGCGUGGAGGAUGAAGGUAUUCUAUAUCGUAAACUCCUGUGAGAGCAGACGAAAGACAGAUUAUUAAUCUGGAUGACUGUAUGCUCAGA
rnacentral:rRNA from 1 species